AACCAUAGAAACCUGCGGAGUACCUGCGGAAGGAUCAUUACAGAGUUGCAAAACUCCCUAAACCACUGUGAACGUUACCUAAACCGUUGCUUCGGCGGGCGGCCCGGGUCCUUCCCGGCGCCCAUCGGCCCUCGCGGGCGCCCGCCGGAGGUAAACCAAACUAUUGCAUUGUAUGGCCUCUCUGAGUCUUCUGUACUGAAUAAGUCAAAACUUUCAACAAUGGAUCUCAGAUCGGAAGAG
rnacentral:misc_RNA from 1 species